GCGCUGGAUGCAGGAGCGGAGCCCGGAGAAUGGAGGGCGCGGGGCGGGGUGUCCGGAGGGUGGGACUGGGAAUGUGAGCGCUGCCGUGUCCCUGUGGGCAGCAGUGGCCUCGGCCACCCAACUGCACCCUGGCCGCGUCCUGCUCCUUAUCCACACCCCAGCUGUCGGUGUGAAACAAAGCUGAGAGAUGGGGACAUGA